rnacentral:rRNA from 1 species
UUUCAGAGAUUGCUUGAUAUCAUUCGAUCUAGGCUUGCUUCGUAGCGUGCUGCCUUGCUCAUUCUGAGUGGUCGUCUCAUCCUUGUUCAGUCGGUCCUUACCGCUAUUGCAAUCUUUCAUUUGCUCUCUCUCGACCCGCCGAAUUGGGUUCUCAAAGCCAUUGACAAGGUCCGUCGAGCUUUCCUAUGGAAAGGUUCUGAAGUCGUCGUUGGUGGUCACUGCCUGUUAAGUGGGAUACAGUAUGUAGCCCGAAGGAAGUCGGAGGCCUCGGCAUCUCUUGUCUUACAACCAUGA